UUCAAAUCAGCAACAUAUUCAAUGACAAAGAUAGCAGAAAAUAUCGCGUCUCAUUCUGAUAAAGUUCAAAUUUCUCACGAGUAUGAUAUGGUAUAUCUUUUGAAAAAAUCAGUUACCUACCAGUUGCAAGUACUUGAUGACAUCAGUGCAAAGGAGUGGUUCAAUUCUAACUCAAUUGCUGGCCAUAUAGUAUACUCAAUUUUGACAAAACCUCAAUUUGACUGAAGCUCAAACGACACCAUGACUACGAUGGACUUGAGCCUAGACGACCUGGACCCUUUCUUUUGGAAAAAACCAACUGAAUACCGAUCCCAUUACGACAUCAGACUAAUGGGAUACCUGUACUUGGUAUGUUCCAUAAUCACCCUAAUUUCAAAUACAUUUGUAAUCCUGAUACUCACAAGGAAAAACAUGAUAACAUCCGCAAACAUCAUAUUCACUCACGUAGUCAUCGCAGAAUCUCUGUCUACAAUUUGCUACCUGCCUCGUUUAUGGCACGAGUUUUUUCGAGUUACAGAAUGUGCCAUUGCACAGCAUAGAACAUACAGAUGGGAACUGGUUGCAUUUUAUUCUUGCAUACUCGCAUUUGCAUCCAAGCAUAUAGGGGUUUGGAUGACGAUGAUGCUGGCUGUGUGGCGUUACAUCGCGGUAAUCCAUCCGCUGAAGGAACGUGACUGGUGCAAUAAGGAGAUUACUCAGAAAUUCGUUGUAUGUGGAUAUGCCUUCGGAUUUGUGCAAGUAUUACCUUUGUACUUUGCUUUGGAUUGUGGUCCAGCUGAAAAAUACCUAGAUGAGGAAGGAUGCUUGAUGCGAUUGUCGAACAUUACCAAUGAGACGAGAACGACGACAAUAUACGAAUUUCAGGUUCCUAUGGAGAAUUACCCCAUUCUAUUUGCGAUCGGAGCGCUCCUAUAUGGUUUGAUUAAAUUAGUGCCAUCGAUCGCCUUCGCUGUCAUCAGCUAUAGAUUGAUAAAAGCUCUGACUGAGGCGAGGAAACGUCGCCAAAAAAUGACUCUCGCACUGAAACAAGACGUUGAUGCAUUUCAUACAAAGGUAAAACAACAAACGGACCGACUCUCGAUAAUUUUGGUGAUAAUUUUAGCACUAUUUGCAACAGCUGAAAUACCCCAUGGAAUUUAUUGUCUGCUGGCUGCGUUUUAUGGUGCGAAAUUUUUCUGGAGGUAUCACUAUUAUGGGCAGGAGAUAUUCAAUGUCUUCAUUCAGUUAUCCGAGUGCUUCAAUUUUUUGAUUUAUUAUGCAAUGAGUCACCAGUUUAGGAAAACUUGCGACGAGUUGUUUCGACGAAAAUACAAGGAACCAGUCAGCAAUGUCACGUCUGCUCAAAAAGUCAUAUCCUCCGAGUCUGGUGUUCAAAGUCCACGUGAAAAUCCAGUUCAAUCGCCGAGUCUGGUGAACGAACUCCAGGAGAGUUCAUCACACAUUGUAUUGUCAGGAAAAGAGGUGUGAUUGAAAAAAUUUCAAAAUGAUAACGCAGAAUUUUAGGAGAACUGUCAGCAAUAAAUUUUCAAACAUUU